CUGAGAAUGUAACAUAACUGUCAUUUCUAGGAAAUCAGGGAAAUUCUGCUUCAGAGACAGCAACAAGGGAAGAAUUGAAACUUCUCAAGGUUAAAAGGAUCGUUUCCAGAAUGUGAAGUGGGUAAUCAAGAAGCAUUACAGUUCCAGGUACCUGUUUGGAAGAGAAGAAGAACUAUGUUUCCCCAAGAGCCUUUCUGAGUACUGUUAUCAUUCCUGCUCAAGGGAACAGAUAUAAGGGUGCAGGUCAUCUUACUCUCCUCUCUUCUCGUCUUGCCGUGUUCUGUGUUGGAUCGGCUUGCUGCUGAUGCUCCCAACUGUCACUGUUCAAGCACUAAGGAGAGGCUCUAGGUGUGAGAACGAGUGCGACAACAACAAAGAGAAGAAGCAAAUACUUUACUGGAAAACAAAAGAAAAAAAAAAAGUACUAUGAACAGAAAGAAAACAACAACAACAACAACAACAAAACAUUAGGAAUCAUUACACUGUUUGGUUCUCCCCACACAUUCUUCUUAUCUACGACGCAGAGAUCAAACCAUCUACAAGACAUUCUAUCUCAAGAAUCUACCUCUAGAAUCUGCAGUUUGUGUCUGUCUACUGAGCAUAUUCUGAGCAUUUUACAGAACCUCCAGAUGUCUUGACAUGCAUGAGACUUGGUUCCUGUUGUCUAAAAUAAUGCCUUUUCUAGCAUCACCAGCUGUUGCCUGAGGAAGUACUGUGAGCCUCUCUACCUCUAGCCCUGGUGUGCUUAGGCUGCCUGAAAAGUGAAGUAAUGGAGCCGUAUGUUGUUACAAAGAAUUUGUGCAGGCCCGACAUUUUGCUAAACUUCUCUCCUAGGUUCUGCGCUAGCUCUGUUUCCUUGCUAUUAUUGGUACCAUUAAACUAG
rnacentral:lncRNA from 1 species